AUCUAAAGAAGGAAGACUCGCACGCUGGAAAAGUUUUACUUCGUACAUGGCUUGAACGGAAUAAGCACAUUUUCCCUGCUUCACGGUGGGAACCCUACGAUCCUAAUAAAAGCUACGGAAAGUACACAAUUGCAGACAAGUCAAAAAAUUAAGCGGCGUACCGUUUUAUACAUUGUGUCGGGUUUCAUUUUUAUCGUGAAUAAAGUUACUGAAUUUAAUAUACAUUAUUAAA